CUCAGGGCGACCAGCGGUGUGUUUAUGUCUUUGUUUUGCGAAAACGGUGAGUACCUGGACGACAGGAGCUACGGAUGGGAAAGUGCUAUAGUGCAGCUGUCGGAACCUGUUUGGGGGGAACUUAGUCAACGAGCUCGAAGCCUGGAGCCUCAGUGGCCGUACCCUUUUCAUGUCAGAGACAAAGUACUCUUGCAGUCGUUUAUGUCAUUCCCUCCUCUUC